rnacentral:lncRNA from 1 species
CAGGGGCGUACCUGCAUGAUUUUGAACUGUACGCCAGAUAGAUGAACAGCAUAACUAUGAGCCAAACAGCGAUGCUGCGAGUACGGAGUAUGUGAGAGAGAGUCUCGAUUGGAUUGUGUUUACAACGGGAGAGGAUGAUUAUCCUACAUGUAGGCUGUCACACAGGAUUCAUCGCAGGAGCAGAAAUGGUAUUCAAAGCCAACAGUAGUUCCGGUGAUUACCACAUGGAAAUGAACACAAAGAACUUUACUAGAUGGCUCACGGAGAAGCUGAUACCGAAUAUACCUCCUAGUCUCUCCUAGUGAUGGAUAACGCUGCAUAUCACAACGUGCAAGUAGAUCGUUGUCGAGGAAAGCAGACAUAAAGGACAGGCUCAGAAGACACACCAUAUCUUUCUCAGACAACUUGUUGAAGUCGGAAUUUAUUGCAUUCUGCAAACAACAAACAAACAAGCCUGAUCCAGUUUAUGUGGAUGACCAGUUACUAGCAACACAUGGUCACCAGGCGCUUCGACUGACUCCUUACCAGGCGGAUUUGAACCCCACUGAACUUAUUUGGGGCGUUUUAAAAGGCUACAUUGCACGUAAGAACUUGACGUUUAAGAUUGCCCAUGUGAAUGGACUUAUUACGGAAGGUUUGAAAACAGUUUCAUCUUCAGAUUAGUCUAGGUGUAUUGACCAGUUGAACAGAAAUACUGGGAGUUGGAUAUUGCUAUAGACGAUCUUCCAGCACCGGUGACCAUUGAGCUUAACUCGGAUUUAUAAAUUGAACUCUCAAACGUCAAAAUCAAACUAUAUUAGUUUUAAAAGCACAUUGCGUAGCUAUUUAGUAAGACUAGCCUACAGACUGAUAAUGAAGAAUUGGUCACAAGAUUUAAACUUUUAUUCUCUGUAAUAGUGACAAAUGUCAGUCUAUUUUAGAGUUUUUCUUGGAGAACUGUUUGUAAUAUUAUCAGUUUAGUAUCAUCCGAAAUGUUCUGGGAGAGUUGACUAUGGCUAUUAAAUUACCCCUAGAUAAUUUGGUACAUCAUGCCAGUGAUCAAGAGUUAUGAAGGUAGACAUUGAUAUGUUCAGUUAACAUUACUGGCUAGCGUCUUACAACCGGACACUUUUGUAAUAUUUUUCACGAUAACUCGGGAAAUAAAUAUAUCUAAUAGUUGAAAUUUCACGAGAACAAAGCUAGGUUCUCUUCCCAUCUAAAGACUUAUUUUUUUUACUUCUAAAAUUUUUCGAGGCCCAAACGAAAGGCCACCGAAUCACGUUGUUUUAAGGUCUAACACUACCAUGUUUCCGGACCAUAUAUAGACAGCGAGUUGUCACUUUAUUGAUUUUCAAUUUAUGUUCAAUAUUGAAUUAAAGUUAUUUUCAACCAAGGGAAAGUAGUCGUACAUUGGCCGAGUCAUAGAAUUGUACAAAAAUACCCUCUCUUGAAUCGAUGAUUUGAUCGUAUCUCUCCCGACUGAAACUUUUAAGUCAGCGGCUUGACUUACUGCAUUUUUACAGUAUACAAUAAACCGUCUACGAAUCCGAAGUAAGCCAAACGCUGAAAAUAUGUACUUACUGUUAUUCAUGGGGAAUAUAUGUUUUUGUUUACUUUUUUUUUCUUUUUUUUUUUUUUUUGGUAUUGAGAUUUUUUUUUCUUAUCCGGAAGUGAUGUUAUGAAUAAUAAUGAUUGAUAGUAUGCUGUAUAUUUAGCGCGUUAGUAUUUCCUUUGAACCACCACCAACAAAACAAAACUACCUUAACACAAGCUUGUUUAGACGGAAAGAAUGGCUGACUUUGCAGGCCCGAUAUGCAACAGGUGAUAAGUACAUGCUCAUUUAGAUAUUAUUUCACCAAAUGGGGAAGCUACCAGAUACGAAUGUUCUUCCGUCAUGUGGUAUGCAUUAACAUGUGUACAUGGACCUGUCACCUUUCACAGCCAAGCAUUAUAGAUGUUAAGCAGCAUUGUGUCAGGUGUUGCAAUAAUUGGUACUGAUUUUUGUGUCAAUAUACUGGCGAAACCAGUUAUAAUGCAACAGUUAUUUCUCGACGUAAACUGCCGCUGGUUUAACUUCGUUGGUCAAAACAUUUGAAAUGCAAGUUUGCGUAAUCUAAGAUAACAGUUAAUCGUCAUCUUAAACGAUACCAAUGUGCUAAAGAUAAUAAGUUUUUAAAGCUAGAAUUGAACUGAUAAUUUCUUUAUUAAUGUAAAGCUCACUCAUGUUUUCUUUAGAUGAAAGUCUGCUGACCUUCUCCAGCACUUAUUAGAGGAGGGUAUAGACCUCUGUGUGAUCACUGAAACUUGGCUACAGCCGGAUGAUGAUGACGUUGUCAGGGGGGAAUUGCCUCAGGAUGGUUAUUGCUUUGAUGAUGUCCCGAGACCCGACCGUAAAGGUGGAGGACUUGCCCUAUUAUAUAGAAACAAUCUCAAAGUGUCAAGAUGCCCAGCAAAAACCUUUCAGUCCUUUGAAUGUGCUGAAUGGAAAGUAUGUUGUCAAUCAUUCAUCCUCUACAUCUUUAGUAUAUAUAGACCGCCAUAUUCGGAGAGACACCCAGUAACUCAGGCUAUGUUAAUGACAGAAUUCACUGAGUUUCUUGAACAAAUAACGACAAGAUCUGAGUCUCUGUUGCUGUUAGGUGACUUUAACAUCCACAUGGAUAAUAAGUCAGAUUGCUACACAAAACAAUUUCAGCAGCGUUUGAGAUCUUUUGAACUGGUUCAACAUGUCAGUGCUCCUACUCAUUCUGGUGAUCAUAUUCUUGACCUGAUGAUCACAAAGCUAGACGACAAACGUGUGAAUGUCUCAGAACCUUUUGCCAGACUAUUACAUCUCUGACCACUGCUUGGUUAGUUGUAACAUUGAACAGUGUCGUCCUCCCUUGAUCAGGAAAGAAAUCAAAUCUCGCAAAUCUGUAUCCAGUGACAUAUUACAAGCAGAAUUCGGUCAAUCAAAUAACAUUGCAGUGAACACGUCCAAUGUCAAUGAUCUUGUGUCUGAGUUCACUAGAAUCACGUCAGACAUUGUUCAGAAACAUGCCCCUCUAAAGGAAAGAACUAUUCUCUGUAGACCGACAGUUCCUUGGUACUCAGGAUACCUAAAACAGCUGAAACAAUACAUACGAUCAAUAGAGAAAAUCUUUAUGAAUGACAAAUCUGACCUGUCAAAGAAAGUAUAUAGUGGUGUAAGUAAUAUAUAUAGUGCUGAACGUUCUAGGGCCAAGGAUGAGUACUACCAGAACAAGAUUGGAAAAGCAGAAGGAAACAUUAGAAAGCUAUAUGCUGUAACAUCCGAUUUACUGAGAAGAUCGAAGGACAAUCUGCUCCCAUUACACACAAGUGCAGUAUCUUUGGCAAAUGACUUUCUACGAUACUUUGCUGAUAAAAUAAUCAAGUUGAGAAAUGAUCUUGAAAACAUAUCAACUGAAACACCCAGCAAUGGUAAU